GGGCCCGCACAAGCGGUGGAGCAUGUGGUUUAAUUCGAUGAUACGCGAGGAACCUUACCAGGACUUAAAUGUAAGUUGCAUGAUUCAGAAAUGGAUCUUUCUUCGGACUACUUACAAGGUGCUGCAUGGUUGUCGUCAGCUCGUGCCGUGAGGUGUCAGGUUAAGUCCUAUAACGAGCGCAACCCUAUCGUUAGUUGCCAUCAAGUAAAGUUGGGAACUCUAGCGAAACUGCCGGUGCAAACCGUGAGGAAGGUGGGGAUGACGUCAAAUCAUCACGGCCCUUACGUCCUGGGCCACACACGUGCUACAAUGGCCGGUACAAAGGGCAGCGAAGCCGCAAGGUGAAGCGAA
rnacentral:rRNA from 1 species